rnacentral:rRNA from 1 species
ACGGCUCAGUAACACGUGGCUAACCUGCCCUUGGGACCAGAACACCCCCGGGAAACUGGGGCUAAUUCUCGAUAGGUGAAGAACUCUGGAAUGAGUCUUCGCUUAAAAGAGGCUGGGGUUAUGCUCUCCAGUUUCGCCCAAGGAUGGGGCCGCGACCGAUCAGGUUGUUGGUGAGGUAAUGGCUCACCAAGCCUUUUACCGGUGCGGGCCGUGGGAGCGGGAGCCCGGAGAUGGGCACUGAGACAAGGGCCCAGGCCCUACGGGGCGCAGCAGUCGCGAAAACUUUGCAAUAAGCGAAAGCUUGACAGGGCUAUCCCGAGUGCCAUCCGCUGAGGAAGGCUUUUACCCAGUCUAGAACGCUGGGGGAAUAAGGAGAGGGCAAGUCUGGUGUCAGCCGCCGCGGUAAUACCAGCUCUCCGAGUGGUGUGGAUGUUUAUUGGGCCUAAAGCAUCCGUAGCUGGCCAGGUUAGUCCCCUGUUAAAUCCACCGAAUUAAUCGUUGGAUUGCGGGGGAUACUACUUGGCUAGGGGAAGAGAGAGGCAGACGGUAUUCCCGGGGUAGGGGUGAAAUCCUAUAAUCCCGGGAAGACCACCAGUGGCGAAGGCUGUCUGCUAGAACGCGCCCGACGGUGAGGGAUGAAAGCUGGGGGAGCGAACCGGAUUAGAUACCCGGGUAGUCCCAGCUGUAAACGAUGCAGGCUAGGUGUUUGGACGGCCACGUGCCGUUCUAGUGCCGCAGGGAAGCUGUUAAGCCUGCCGCCUGGGGAGUACGAUCGCAAGAUUGAAACUUAAAGGAAUUGGCGGGGGAGCAC